rnacentral:lncRNA from 1 species
AUGGGGGAAAGGAGGAAAAAUGCCACCCUGCUUCAGUGGACUCCACGGGAGCCAUCUGUGAUGUCUGGGGCUGCUGCAGCCACUCUGUGGGCAGAAAACACCCACCUGCUGAGGUGGCUGAGUGGAACCAGAGACAACGCCUGGUUCCUUGAGUUACUCAAUCAGCCAACUGAAGAUCUUUCCAGCUCCAGAUCCUGCCUGAGAACACAAAACGCCCCUUACUGCUUUAACUCCAGGUGUCCAGGUCAUCUGUUAUUUGCAAGAAAAGUGCACCAGCAACCACAACGACAAAGCAAGGGAUGUGAUGUUCACUUUCACCUCCCUUUAAAGAGGACGAAACCACAAGGCAGCGAGGCCUCAUCCAGAACCAGAACCACAAGCAGGAGACAGCUGGGACCGUGUUAUCAGCCAAAGGACCCCCUCUCUUCCCCGGCCCAGGCUGCAACUCGACUAAAAGGCAGAUUGUCUGAGGCCAUGCUGCAGAGACAACAGGACUCUGUGUGCCCGGCCCUGCCCUGCCCGGCGACCGUCUUUGGGUUUCUCAAUAGACACUGGGCAAAAAGGCGAUCAGAAACGGUCCUGUGAUCUCCCUAAUUGCUUCCACAGACAAGUCCAAAAUGGGUAAAUUUCUUAAAAGACACAACUGAUUUGAUUGCACCCCUCGGCGUCUGUCUCCCCCCCCAGGGGAGCCCUGGUGACCCAGGCUGGGCACGGGUUCAAAGGCAGCCAGGCCCGUGGCUGCCCCGGAAACCCUGGGCCCACGUCUUGCCUGUCCAUCCUCCCGAGGCUGACCAAGUCCAACCCGGACAGCGCUGGGGCAGCCGCAUCCCCACGGCCCUCCAUGUACCCCCGAGAGCGCCCGGCCAGGAAGUAACUUCAAAGACACUCGCCUAUCACCUGCACCCCGCAGGGCCUCAGGCUGGCCGGAUCUCCAGGGAGGUGAGCGCCAGGGUCCUCCCCCCUUAGACUACCAGGGCUCCCCAAUUCUGCCCAGAAGUGGGGUCCCGCGGUGCCCGCCCCGCCUGCAUCAUCCGCAGAGGACAAGCCGGCCUCAGCCGCUGCCCCGGCCCUCCUGGGAUGGCCACACCUGUUGUGUGUUAGAUGAGCGAUUCCGGGGCAGGCAGCCGGCAAGACCCCUACGUUUGGAAUCUAAGGGAAUUCCCUGCUCUUCUAUGUUUUAACAAAUUAAGUACCAGGGACUUGUUUUUUUUUUUUACUUGUUCCCGCUGUUCAAAAAAAUUGUCCCCACUCACACUGCGGCUUCUGCCGCCUGCCAAGCGUCGGGGGCUGAGAUGCACACGGGAUGGGAGGCGGGAGCCUGGGAAACGCGCUCGGCGUUCCACUGCGCAUGCUCCCUGGGGACAGAGGGACCCCGGCUCGCACUGCUCCCUGCAGCGCCCCCCACUUGUCCGUCACACGUCACCAAGCCACGUGGGCUCGGGCCGAAAGGGAUAAAAUAAAGUUUAUUAUGCAAAAGAAAAGAAAGAAAUCACUUGAUAAAUUAAAUGUUGUGAGCCUCAUAUAAAAUAAAAAACAUGAAUGAAAUUAUUAAGAGGUCUUAUAUUUUUUGUUUUGCUUUUUGAGACAGAGUCUUACUACGUAGCUCAGGCUGCCCUUGAACUCACUAUGUCUCCCAGGCUGGCCUCAAACUCAGCAAUCCUCCUGCCUCCGCCUCCUGAGUGCUGGGAUUACAGGACUCUGCCGCCAUACCCAGCUUACCCCUAGCAUUUUUCAUUUUUUAUUUUGAGACAAAAUCUCACUUAAACUGUGCACACUGGCCUAGAGGCUGAGGAAGGAGGAGCACACAUCAGAGCCCAGCCUGGGGAUUUUAGCAACAGAGCAAUAUCCUAUCCCAUAAAUAAAAAAAUGUUUAUAAAGGAUGAUUAUUUCUUCACUCUAUGAAACCAAUACAACCUUGACACCAAAACAGAUCAGGACAAAACGAGAAAGGAAAUGUAUAGAUCAGUCAUAUGCA